rnacentral:rRNA from 1 species
GACGAACGCUGGCGGCGCGCUUAACACAUGCAAGUCGAACGGAAAGGCCUGCUUUCCCUUGUGGAUUGCGGGUACUCGAGUGGCGAACGGGUGAGUAACACGUGAGUGAUCUGCCCCCAACUUGGGUAUAAGCCUGGGAAACUGGGUCUAAUUCCCGAUAGGACUGCAGGGUGGUGCCUGUGGUGGAAAACGAUCUUCUAGUGGUUGGGGAUGAGCUCGCGGCCUAUCAGCUUGUUGGUGGGGUAAUGGCCUACCAAGGCGGCGACGGGUAGUCGGCCCGUGAUGGUGGACGGCCGCAUUGGGACUGGGACACGGCCCAGACUCGUACGGGAGGCAGCAGUGGGGAAUAAUGCACCAUGGGCGGAAGCCUGAUGCAGCGACGCCGCGUGGGGGAUGACGGCCUUCUGGUUGUAAGCUCCUUGCGACCGCGAGGAAGCCACCUGGUUGGAAGGGUGGUGACGGUAGUGGUAGAAGAAGCACCGGCUAACUACGUG